GUGCAGCAGGCGAGAAUUUUUCUCAAUGGGGGAAACCCUGAAGGAGCGACGCCGCGUGGAGGAUGAAGGCCUUCGGGUUGUAAACUCCUGUCAUUUGAGAACAAGGAGCCGAGAGUAACUACUUCGGCUUUGAUAGUAUCAGAAGAGGAAGGGACGGCUAACUCUGUGCCAGCAGCCGCGGUAAUACAGAGGUCCCAAGCGUUGUUCGGAUUCAUUGGGCGUAAAGGGUGCGUAGGUGGCGCCAUAAGUCAGGUGUGAAAUUUCGGAGCUUAACUCCGAAACUGCAUUUGAUACUGUGGUGCUUGAGGACUGGAGAGGAGACUGGAAUUUACGGUGUAGCAGUGAAAUGCGUAGAGAUCGUAAGGAAGACCAGUGGCGAAGGCGGGUCUCUGGACAGUUCCUGACACUGAGGCACGAAGGCCAGGGGAGCAAACGGGAUUAGAUACCCGCGUAGU
rnacentral:rRNA from 1 species